ensembl:misc_RNA 7SK 7SK RNA
CCAUUACAGCCUGGCUGUGACAUCUGUCACUCCAUUGAUUACCGGAGUUGAUUCAGCUGAUCUGGCUGGCUGGAUGGGUUUCCCCUUCCUCAGCACUGCAUGUGUAUCCUUCCCAAAGUUGCAUGCUCGGUCAAAGACGACGACCUUCCCUAAUAGAGAAGUACGGUUCUUCAGUCAAGGGUAUAUGAGUAGCUGCUCUCCCCUGCUAGAACCUCCAACCAAGCCAUUGUCUUAGAUGGGGGAAAUUGAGCAGACAGGGAUGAAAUUUUAGAGCUCAGUUUUGGAAGUUUUAAAUUUCUGAUGCCC